CGCCGCUACUUCCGGUGCACCAUCCUCAGUCCGGGCAGCCCCACAUGCCUCGCGCCUAAAUGGCCUAAUCAGAAGGUGCCGAUGAGGGGCUAGGGGUUGGAGCGCACGGCAGGGAUUUAGAGUACGGUGGAGCGGUGUGAAGGAGUCGGGGUUUGGCAAAGGUGGAAAUGAAGGCGUGCCUCCUACCGACAUCGAGCCAUGCUGGUGUGGGAAUGCUUACACAAGGACUGUGCCUGGAACCAAAAGGAUUUUCUCAGGUGCCUCUUGGUGCUUUGUGUCCAUUAAAAAACAAAGAAAACUACAAAAGCAGCAACAACAAAACAACAGAAUGAUAAUAACUUGGAUUAAGAAUGAAGAUUUGUGUUUUACCAUCAGCCAAUCCUGCCAUGCACCAUGGCCAGCAGAGCUUGGCACCUCCCCUGGGCAGUUUCCCAGCAGCACAGUGAGUGCUCUUGGCACAGCACCCCAGCAAACGUCGCCAACCAGCAAAACGCCGCCAUGUCUCCUCCAGUGAGGUUUGGCUCCUUAACCCUGAUAGAUGGCAGCUGUUCCAGAGUUGUUCCUUCCUUGCUGUUCUGCCUCAAACUAGAUGUAGAGGCUUCUGUCUACAUCUGUUACGCCCAUGUGAAAGGAAAAUAAAAUCUCAGGACCCUAAUUCACUCUGCCAAAAGGAAAAAUUAAACUCAAAGCUGAGUCAUGCAAGAAGCUGCAUUUGCUUUUGUUCCCAGAGAACUACUGUUCAAGGUUAAAUAUUUCCAUGGGUAGCUCCUCUAUGUUUACCCUUUCUAAUGUAAAAUGCCAGUUUACUGGGUGUGAGAUGAAUACGUAAUUGACUAUUCUCCUACCUGCUCCUUUUUUUAGUAUCAUGUGGAUCACCAGACCCUCUCUCUUGCCCCUCCAGCCCACUUUUUCCCUUUAAAUAUUAAAGCUCUCAAAAUCACCUUUGGAGAAAGGCACAGACCACAGACUUUCUGUGAUUCCGUGUUCUUUUCUACCAGACAUUUUCUUAACCUUGGCAAAGGAAACGUCUAAACUGAUGGAGACUCGUCUCAGAUACUUUUUGGUUUACACUUGUGUUCUUAGAGUUCUCUUUUUCCCUUUGUCAGUAACCUCUUAUUAUGGUUAAUAUAGGCAGGCUGGUGUGCUGUGGUGUGAUCUUGGCUCCACCUCUCAAAUUCAAGCAAUUCUGUUGUCUCAGCCUCUCGAGUAGCUGGGAUUACAGAUGUGUACCACCACACCCAGCUAAUUUUUGUAUUUUUAUUAGAGACAGUUUUGCCAUGUUGACCAGGCUGGUCUUGAACUCCUAAUCUCAAGUGAUCCAUCUGCCUUGACCUCUCGCAGUGCUGGGAUUAUGUGCAUGAGCCACCGCCUAUUUCUUUCUUGUCCAAAUAAUUAUGUAGUUUCUGUCUCCUGAGUCCUGAUGGUUAUAGUGGGAAUGUGGCAUCAGGGGUUGAAAGCAAAGGCGAACUGUCUGGGCCCAGGAUUGGCCUCUGUAUGUCACUGAUUUGCCUCUGAGUUUGGUGGCUGUCUCGGCCCAUCGCUCUUGUGUUGCUUGCUCCCUCUUGUCUGUCCUCACCUGAGACUACCAUCAUAAACUAGAUGUUGCUGGUUCCUUGCUUCCUGUUUUGAAGCCACCAUUUCUCAGCAUGUGGCUGGAAGGGCAACUGCAUGAGAAUCACUAGGGGAUGCUGUAAAAAUGCACAUUCCAGGAGCCCGAAUGUGCAUUCAGGAUUCUUGGUUAGUAGGCAGGGCCCAGCAAUGUGCUUUUGUUUUUUUGAGACGUUGUCUCACUGUGGCCUGGCUGGAGUGCGGUGGCACAAUGUCGGCUCACUGCAAUCUCUGCCUCCCAGGUUCAAGCAAUUAUCCUGCCUCAGCCUCCCGACUGCCAUGCCUGGCUAAUUUUUUGUAUUUUUGUAGAGACAGGUUUCACUGUGUUACCCAGGCUAGUCUUGAACUCCUGAUUUCAGGUGAUCUGCUGGCCUUGGCCUCCGAAAGUGUUAGGAUUACAGGUGUGAGCCACUGAGCCUGGCAGCAAUGUGCAUUUUUAACAAUGUUUCGUUCCAUUUUGCCAGUAUCUGCACCAUUCUCUGUACCCUUUCCAUCUGCCUGUUUUCCACAGGUGAUCACUCUUCCACUCAAGAGAUAUCUCAUCCCCUGGAUGGCAAAACUGAUAGAUGCUUUAAGCGCUGGUAGCUCUUAACAGUGAUUCUGAGUGAGCUACACCCUGUAGCCUAUUUUCAGUUGCCGAUUUUCACACCAGGCUCUUGCCAAACAUUCCCUGUUUCAAUCAUGUGCAGCUUGUGGAGCACCUGCUGCUGUAUUCCUGAGAAAAUCCAACCCAAGGAAAAUAAUGGCACAUCAUGCUAAUAGCGCUCAGUGAAGGUGUUGCAUAGAGAAAUUCCCAGCCCGUGUCUCACUGCCAAAGGUUUAGCAGUUCCCAGCUUGAGGAAGGAGGGUGGGAAGAGAAACUGCCAACCCUGCAGCAUGUUUGCUGUGAGGCUUUCAGGUCUCUGCCAACUUUCAACAACGUUUAGAGGCAAAGGACGCUUCCCCAGACUCCAGACAGGAAUGCCUUCUGUUCAAUGCCCAGCACGAUUGUAGAUGCUGCAGGAGGUAAACUCUCCUUCCAGUGAACCACAGGGUAAACUAUGAGAUACAAUUAAAAAACGGUGUAAUUGGAUGUGAAAUUAUGGAGAGCAGACAAAAAUCUGGGGAACAAGAGAUCACUAGAGGUUAUAGUCAUUAGUAAAGUCAUUAUGGAGUAUAGGGAAUUAUGUCAAGCUUUUAAAGUAUGUAGCAUUCAGACAGCUCAAAGAUAUUCUUAUAGUUACAUCACCCCUAAACAUAGCCAGCAACAUAUACACAUUCUUAUUUCUAAUUAAUAGUAAAUAAUAACAUUAGUUAACAUUUCUUGAGCGCUUCCUACGUGCCAAGUGCUGUUCCAAUCACUUACAUGCCUACACUGAUCUAAUUUUCAGAGCCCAAUUACUCAGGCAUUAUUAUUAAACCAAUUUUACAAAGAAGACUGAACCACAAUGCCACAUGAUACCAUGUGACACUUCUCUGCAAAUACAUGCCAGAAUGAAAGCAAGUUAGGAAAAAUAGGACUAUUCCUAAAGUGACAUAUGGGCCAUUUCUUGGGACCUCAUAGCUGGUGUCUUUGAGUGACUUCAGAAGAGAAGAGUUGGUAGCAGUGUAACCCAGCAGCCCUUGGGUUAUUAAGCAUCCCUGGUGGCUUUAUCUAGAUAGCUUACCAGAUUCCUCUGUAGAGCCACUGAGUCCCCAGAACCAUGGGAAUGGCAUCAUUUUGGGUGUAUGAACUAAGAUGUCAGACACAAGACUUGAUUCAAACCUUAGCUUCACUACUCCCUUGGUGGGUAACUUAGUAACUUAACUUAAACAAGUUACUUAGUUUUCCUCAUCUGUUGGACUGUAUGAAGAUUCACCCAUACAUUGAUUCAUUCAUUUAAUCUACAAAUAUUGAGUAUUGACUGUAGCCAGCACUGUGCUACUUGGGAGGCUGAGGGGUGGAGGACUGCUUGAGCCCAGGAGGUCAAGGCUGCAGUGAGCUAUGAUUGUGCCACUGCACUCAGGCCUGGGCAACAGAUCAUGACCCUGUCUUAAAAAACAAAAAUAAAAAUCCCAAACAAAGAGGAAAAGUAAAGCACUUUGAGUGAGAGCCACCAGAAAUACAAACAUGAUGGAUUUAGACUCCUAAGAUUUAAGAUAUUGGUGUCACCAGAUAGGGACCAUAAAAUAUCAAUGUAUUACAUAGUUAGGUAAACUUUUAGCACUGAAUUUUAAAAAUGAGCAAGUAAUAAAAAAACUGUUAGGACUGACCAGGCAGGUUAAAAUGAGAACCAAACAGAUGUUUUUUUCCCCCUAAGACAGGGUCUCACUCUGUUGCCCAGGCUGAAGUGCAGUGGUACGAUCAUAGCUCACUGCAGCCUCAACCUCCUGGGCUCAAGUGAUCCUCCUGCCUUAGGCUCCCAAGUAGCUGGGGCUACAGGUGAACAAUGCCACACCUGGCGGACAUUUUAAGUUUUUGAAGAGAUUGGGGGGGGGGUCUUACUUUGUUGUCCAGGCUGGUCUUGAACACGUGGCCUCAAGGAAUCUUCCCAUCUUGGCCUCCCAAAGGGCUGGGAUUACAGGCAUGAGGACUGUGUCUGGCCCCAAAUAGAACUUUUUUUUUUUUUUUGAGAUGGAGUUUCGCUCUUGUUACCCAGGCUGUAGUGCAAUGGCGCGAUCUCGGCUCACUGCAACCUCCGCCUCCUGGGUUCAGGCAAUCCUGCCUCAGCCUCCCGAGUAGCUGGGAUUACAGGCACGCGCUACCAUGCCCAGCUGAUUUUGUGUGUGUGUGUGUGUGUGUGUGUGUGUGUUUUUAGUAGAGAUGGGGUUUCACCAUGUUGACCAGGAUGGUCUCGAUUUCUUGACCUCGUGAUCCACCCGCCUUGGUCUCCCAAAGUGCUGGGAUUACAGGCUUGAGCCACCGCGCCCGGCAGAACUUUUUUAAAAUGAAAAAAAUUUUAAAUUAAAAUCGCAGUGAAUAGUUUCAACCAGCAGAUAAGAUGUGAACAGUUAGAGAAAUGGAAUAUAGAUAUGAAGAAAUUAUGCAGCAUGUGGCUCAGGGAGACAAGGAUGGAAAGUAUGAAUGUGAGAUUAAAAGACAGAAUGGGCAGGUGCAGUGGCUCAUACCUGUAAUCACAAACCUUUGAGAAGUUGAGGCAGGUGGAUCAUUUGAGGUCAGGAGUUCGUGACCAGCCUGGCCAACAUGGUGAAAACCUACCUCUACUAAAAAAAUUACAAAAAUUAGGCAGGCGUGGUGGCUGGUGCCUGUAGUCCCAGCUACUCAGGAGGCUGAGGCAGAAGAAUCGCCUGAACCCGGGAGGUGGAGGUUGCAGUGAGCCGAGAUUGUGCCACUGCACUCUAGCCUGGAUGACAGAGAAAGAUGCUAUCUCAAAAAAGAAAAAAAAAAACCGACAGAAUGAAGACUUGACACUCGUAACUUGAGUCUCAGAUAGAGACAUUGAGAUAAUGAGUGAUGAUUUUUCAGAAAAACAAAAGACAUGAAUUCAUAGCUACAGGGAGCAUACUGUAAACCAGGUAGGAUAAAGAGUUCCACACUUAGACCCCUUAGCAGAAAACUAAAGAACACCAAGUCAAAGGCAUCAUAAAAGAGGCCAGAGAUAGAUCACCUAUUAAAAAAAGCGCCAUACUGUUUUCUGAAAACCAACAGUGGAAGGCAGAAGUCAGUAAUAUGAUCCAGUAUUUCACUAACUUAAAGAUGCCGUCAAUGCUAAAUCACACCACUGUUUUACUCAGCACCAAAAAAGAAAAAAGGUGAUGUCAAAGUAUGCUAUGCACCAAAAUAUUUGAGAUGUAAGAAGUAAAAGUAUACAAGAAAAUUGAUAAACAGGUGGUAAUUUAUUUUAUACAAAGAUGUGUGUAUAAGAUAAUAAAAAUGUCUAAGUUAUGGAGUUUUAAAAAUCAAAGUUAGAAUACUGGGCCACAAUAGCAUGUAUGUAGGGAAAGGGUUCAUCAGGCUUACAAUGUUCCAAAGUCCAUUAUUAUUAAAGAAGGGGUUAUGAUACCAGAUAACUUUAGAUUGUAUAGAGUAUGCAUUUUAAAAGCUCAGGAGUAAACACGAGAAAAAUAAAACUUCAAACCUAGUACAGAGGGAGAAAUGGAAUAAUGAUAAUAAAACCAAACAGCCAAUCAAGAAGUGAUGGGAAAAAUGCACAAAAGAGAAACAAGUAGGACGAAAUAACAUGAGAGAAAUCUUCAUGUUUUAGGAAUUACAAUAAAUGUAAACAGAAUAAAUUUGUUUACUAAAGGAUAGAGAUGGCCAUGUGAAAAACCAGCAUCUAGGUUUGACUUACAAGAGAUAAAACGAAACCAUCAACACGUGGCAAGAUAGGAGGUAAAGGGAUCAAAAGAUACACACUACAUACCAACUAAUGCUAUAUUGAGAUCACAGAAAACAGAUUUUUUUUUUUUUUGCUAAGACAAAAAGCAUUAGCAAUAAGGAAGUCACUGCAUAGCAAGAAGAGUUGAACUCACCAGGACAACACAAGAAUUCGAAACUUUAUUUACUCAAUGGAAUGUAUAAAGUUAAAACUAACAAAACAGGAGAAAUUGCAAAUCUUUUACAGUGAGACAAUUUGAAAUACCUUUGUCAAUUAUUAAUAGGUCAGACAAGAAUUAGUAAAGAUAUGAAAGAUUUGAACAACCCAAUUAACAAGCAUCGCCACAUAUGUAGAAAACAAUUAGAGGCUAAGUGCCUUGGCUUACACCUGUAAUCCCAACACUUUGAGGGGCCAAGACUGGAGGAUCCUUUAAGCCCAAGAGUUCCAGACCACCUUGGGCAACAUACCCAGCUACUCAGGAGGCUGAGGUGGGAAGAUUGCUUGAGCCCAGGAGGUUGAGGCUGCAGUGAGCCAAGAUCAUGCCAUUGUACUCCAGCUUGCGGGACAGAAUGAGACCAGUCUCAAAAAAAAAAAAGAAGAAAAAUAAGAAAAAUUAGGAAGCAAAUGUGAAACACAUUAAAAACUGGCCAUACCUGGACAUACAAGUCUUAAAAUAUUUCUAGCUAGGCAUGAUGACUCAUCCCUGGAAUCCUAGCUAUUUGGGAGGCUGAGGCAGGAGGACUGGAAGAGACCAGGUGUUGGAGACCAGCCUGAACAACAUACUGAGACCCCCAUCUUUAAAAAUAAAAAUUAAAAAGCCAGUGCCUGUAGUCCCAGCUACUCAGGAGGCUGAAGAGGGAGGAUCACUUGCAAAAGCCCAGGAGUUCGAGGCUGCAAUGAGCCAUGGUCACGCCACUGGACUCCAGUCUGGGCAACAGAGGGAGACCCUGACGCUAAACAAACAAAACCUCUAAUAGGUAAUGCAAUUUACAUUUGUGUUUCCUAGGGUGGCUGGAAAUUAUCACAAACUCAGUGGUUUAAGAUAACAGAAAUUUAUUCUCACAGUUCCCUGGAGGCCAGAAGUACAAAAUAAGUAUCACCACACCAAAAUCAAAUUGUUGAUGGGAUGCUUCAUAUUCAGAAUUUCUAAGAGAGAACCUGUUAAUUCCCUGCCGUUUUUUGUAGCUACUGGUAUUCCUUGGUUUGUGUCUGCCUCACUCCAAUCUCUGCCUUCAUGUUCACAUUGCCUUCUCCUCUUCUGUCUGCAAUCUCCCUGCCUGAUUAAAGACACGUGUGACUGCAUGUAGGACCAAUCUAGACAAUCCAAGAAAAUCUCCCCAUCUCAGGACUCCCAAUUUGUUUUGAUUUUUAUUUAUUCAUUUAUUUUUGAGAUGGAGUGUUGCUCUGUCACCCAGGCUGGAGUGCAGUGGUGCGAUCUCAGCUCACUGCAACCUCCGCCUCCCGGGUUCAAGUGAUUCUCCUGCCUCAGUCUCCUGAGUAGCAGGGACUGCAGGUGCCCACUACCAUGCUGGGCUAAUUUUUGUAUUUUUUUAAGAGAUGGGAUUUCGCCAUAUUGGUCAAGCUGGAUCACUCCUGACCUUGUGAUCUACCCGCCUCAGACUCCCAAAGUGCUGGGAUUACAGGCGUGAGCCACCACACCACCAGCCAAGAGCCCCAAUUUAAUCACAUCUGCAAAGACCUCAUUUCCAUUUAAGGUAAUAUGGGGUUCACUGGAAUAAAACCUGAUGUCUUGGGGGCCAUUAUUCAGCUUAAAUACAACAUAUGUUUAGAUACUUUGUGCCUGGAUGAAUUCUCAUUACUUUAAAUGUCUUAACUUACUCUCAAACCAUCUAUGACCUAGGUGCUAUUAUUUCCAUUUCUCAGAUGGCAAAGCUGAGGCAGAGAAAGGUUAUAAUUUGUCCAAGCUUUAUCAUACCCACAUGUUCUUUGACCACAUGCAAUUAGUUAGAACCAACAACAAAAGCUAUGUUUAAACUUUCUAUUCUGAAAUAAUUCCAGAUUGACAGUAAAUCUGUGAAACAGUACAAAGUAUCCAUAUCACUUAAAAUUUCCAAAGGUUAACAUCUUACCACAUUUACUCUACCAUUUUCUCUCUAUAUAAUUUUUCCAGAACCUUUUGACAUUCAGUUGUAUAUACAAUAUUCCAUUAAUUCCUAAGUGCUCCAGUGUGUACUUCCUAAAAGACAAGGACUUUUUCCUCAAUUAUGACGUUAUUAUCAAAAUCAGGAAGUCACACUGAUAUAAUGCUAUUCAUCAUUUACAGACCUUACUCAAAUUUUACCAGUUGUCUCAAAAAUGUCUGACAGAGCAAAAGUUUAAAAAAUGCUUUCUUGACCAGGAUCCACCUAGAAACAUGAGCUGCAUGUACUUUGCCACAUCCCUUUGCUCUCCUUUAACCUGAAAUAUUUGACAAGUAUAGGCUGGUAAUUUUGCAGGAUAUUCCUCAGUUUAGCUUUUUCUGAUAUUUCUCUCCAAUAUGUUCAUGUUAUGCAUUUUUGGCAGGAAUAUCACAUAAUUAAUGUAUCUUCAGCACAUUUUAUCAGGAUUCACAAAAUAUAUAAAAUUGUCUUAUUAACAGUGAUAUUAAUAUGAUUUUUUUUGAAAAAAAUACAUUUAUAAAAUUCUUAAAUCUGUGCAUUUAAAAACACUUUAAAAUAACAGGUCAAAUAUAUCAUAACAUAAAGAUACACAUGGAAAAUACACAUAUACAUGUUUGCAUACAUGCAUGUACUCAUUCAUGGGGUGAAGCAAAGGAGGUAAUUCCAAUAAACUCAGAUACUAAACAUGGGAAAAACCUUGAACAUGAGUGAGAUAAAUGUCCAAUUUAUGAAAUGAGAAAAACAACAGAACAAACCACGAGAAAGCAGAACAUAAACGAGAAAGGCAGAGAAAAUGAAUGAAGCUAAGAUUGGUUCUUUAAAAAAAUUAAGAAAAUAGACAAACUUCUGUUAAAAUGGCCAAGGAAAAGAAAGUGAGAAGAUACAAAUAUCAGAAAAGGAAGUAUAUGUAUCCAGGAGAGAUUUAGAAAUAAGAAAAUUCCUUGAGCUACUUUAUGCUAAUACACUGUAAAAUGGGCAAAUGCUUAGAUUUAUUUUGUCAAAAUUGACAAGAAAACAAUAGAAUUCCUGAAUAGUUUAAGUACAAUGAAAGAAAUAUAAUCAGUGGUUAAAAGUCUUCCUAUCAACAAAUCCUAAGGCCAGACAGCUUUAUAAACCUUUAACAAACAGAUCACUCCAAUCUUUUACAAAUCCUUACAGAGAACAGGAAAAUUGGCAAUACUUUCCAAUUCAAUUAAUGGAGUUAUAAUCUUGACACCAUAACCUGGCCAAAAAAGUGUAAGAAAGGCAGACCGCAGGCCAAUUUCAUAUACAUGCAAGAAUCCCAGGUAAAAUACUUGUAACAAACUGAUUUUAGUAAUGAAUGGAUAAUGAAAUAUAACCAAGAAUGGAGAAGUGAUUCUUGUUUACUCUUGUAGUGAUUCUUGUCUACUCUAGUCUUUCUGUGUUCAAGUCUUUUUUUUUUUGAGAUGGAGUCUCACUCUUGUCGCUCAGGCUGGAGUACAGUGGUGCAAUCUCGGUUUACUGCAACCUCCACUUCCUGGGUUCACGUGAUUCCCCUGCCUCAGCCUCCAAAGUAGCUGGGACUACAGACACACACCACUGUGCCCAGCUAAUUUUUGUAUUUUUUUUAAGAGAUGGGGUUUCACCAUGUUGGCCAGGCUGUUCUCGAAUUCCUGACCUCAUGAUCUGCCCACCUCAGCCUCCCAAAGUGCUGGGAUUAUAGGCUUGAGCCACUGCGCCUGGCCCACCUGUAUCCAGAUCUUACCUGGUAUGCAUUAGAACAUAAAAUCAGGUCAACAAAGUUAAGCCUGAAACUUUUACUGCACUAUUUUGAAGGUUUGGAGUAUACUGUUUUCUUUUAACAUAGUUUUUCUUUUCAUGCGCCCAGCCAGAAAAAUACAUUUUCAUGUCAUCAUCAUGUUCACCUCUGAGUGUCAGAUACAAGAGGGUGCUUGCCACGUUGAAGCGAUCAAAGCCACAGCUCAGAAAUUUAAAAAUCGCUACGGGAUUUUCUAGCCAGAAUUACAGCUGUUUUCUUUUUUUGAGACAGGGUCUCACUGUGUCACGCGGGCUGGAGUGCAUGCAGUAGUCCAAUCACAGUUCACUGCAGCUUCUAAUUCCUGGGCUCAGGCAAUCCUCCUGCCUCAGCCUUCCAAGUAGCUGGGACUAUGGGUGUGUUAACACCAUACCUGGCUUAUUUUUAAUUUUUUAAAUUUUUUGUAGAGAUAAGAGCUUGCUAUGUUGCCCAGGCUGGGCUUGAACUCCUGAGCUUAAGCAAUCCUCCUGCCUCGGCCUCCCAAAACAUUGAGAUUAUAGGUGUAAGCCACUGUGCUUACCCAACAACUAUUUCCUAACUGGGAUAAAAGAAAAAGUAUUUUGUGUACUUGUAAAUGAAUCUCUCCUCUAUCUACCACCACUAUACUAAACUAGCCAACCAACCAGCCAAUGUGUGAAAGUAGAUAAAAUACUGCCCCGGUCAUUGUGGUGUCACCAUUUCUACAAUAAAAUGAGAGGAAAAAAGGGCAAACAACUGUGUCUUUCAUAAAGCUAUAUUUAUUCCAUUUAAAUGACAAUUUUUAUUCUGAAAUUGUAUUCUUCCUAAUUUUAGGGGGUAAAAUAUAUUUUCUUUUACAUAAGCUGAUAACAGAUGGUUAUUUGGUUUUUGUUUGCUUUUGUUUUAUGUCCUUAGCUGGCAAAAUUAAAAGCCAGAAGCUAAGGCCCCAAUUUUUUUUUUUUUAAAUACAAAUCUA